AGUCGAGGGGCAGCAUAAAGUACUUGUACUUUGAUGGCGACCGGCGAACGGGUGCGUAACGCGUAUGCAACUUACCUUUUACUAGAGAAUAGCCAAGAGAAAUUUUGAUUAAUGCUCUAUACUCUUUUUAACUCACAUGAGUUUUUAAGAAAAGCUCCGGCGGUAAAAGAUGGGCAUGCGUCCUAUUAGCUUGUAGGUGAGGUAACGGCUCACCUAAGCUCCGAUAGGUAGGGGUCCUGAGAGGGAGAUCCCCCACACUGGUACUGAGACACGGACCAGACUUCUACGGAAGGCAGCAGUAAGGAAUAUUGGACAAUGGAGGAAACUCUGAUCCAGCGAUGCCGCGUGAAGGAAGACGGCCCUAUGGGUUGUAAACUUCUUUUAUACAGGAAGAAACCUUUCCACGCGUGGAAAAGCUGACGGUACUGUAAGAAAUAAGGAUCGGCUAACUCCGUGCCAGCAGCCGCGGUAAUACGGAGGAUCCAAGCGUUAUCCGGAAUUAUUGGGUUUAAAGGGUCCGCAGGCUGUUUGUUAAGUCAGGGGUGAAAUCCUACCGCUCAACGGUAGAACUGCCUUUGAUACUGGCAAACUUGAGUUAUUGUGAAGUAGUUAGAAUGUGUAGUGUAGCGGUGAAAUGCAUAGAUAUUUCACAGAAUACCAAUUGCGAAGGCAGAUUACUAACAAUUAACUGACGCUGAGGGACCGAAAGCGUGGGUAGCGAACAGGAUUAGAUACCCUGGUAGUCCACGCCGUAAACGAUGGUCACUAGCUGUUCGAUGUACAUUGGUACAUUGAGUGGCUAAGCGAAAGUGAUAAGUGACCCACCUGGGGAGUACGCUCGCAAGA
rnacentral:rRNA from 1 species